GGCCCCAUCGUCUAAUGGUUAGGACAUCAGGUUUUCAUCCUGGUAACAGGGGUUCAAUUCCCCUUGGGGUCA
rfam:Candidatus Thrbacteria bacterium RIFOXYB2_FTLL_45_11 rifoxyb2_full_scaffold_780, whole genome shotgun sequence.